rnacentral:tRNA from 1 species
GAGGUUGUAGCUCAGUGGUAGAGUGCUCACCUUGCAUGUGGAGGGCACAGGGUUUGAUCCUCAGCACCACA